AUUGAACGCUGGCGGCGGGCCUAACACAUGCAAGUCGAACGAGUGGCGGACGGGUGAGUAAUGUCUGUGACACUGCCCGAUGGAGGGGGAUAACUACUGGAACCGGUAGCUAAUACCGCAUACCAUCGGAUGUGCCCAGAUGGGAUUAGCUAGUAGGUGGGGGAACGGCGCACAUAGGCGACGAUCCCUAGCUGGUCUGAGAGGUUGACCAGCCCAACUGGAACGGAGACCCGGUCCAGACUCCGAGGGGAGGCAGAAGUGGGGAACAUUGCACAAUGGGGGAAAGCCUGAUGCAGCCAUGCCGCGGGUAUGAAGAAGGCCUUCGGGUUGUAAAGUACUUUCAGCGAGGAGGCGGUACUCGCAGAAGAAGCACCGGCUAACUCCGUGCCAGCAGCCGCGGUAAUUC
rnacentral:rRNA from 1 species